rnacentral:rRNA from 1 species
GGAGCAGUGGUUUAAUUUGAACAACGCAAAGAACUUACCAGACCUGACAUCCAAUGAAUUCCAGAGAUGGAUUGGUGCUUGGGAACAUUGAGACAGGUCACGCAUGGUUGUCAGUUGUUCUUGAGAUGUUAGGUUAAGUCUUAUCGAGCAAAACCCUCUCCUUAGUUACAGCAGUUAUGGGGCACUUUAAGGAGACUGCCGGUGACAAACCGGAGGAAGGUGGGGAUGACGUCAAGUCAUCAUGGCCCUUAGGCUGGGCUCACACGUUACAAUGGUCGGUACAGAGGGUUGCCAAGCCGCGAGGGGAGUAAUCCCAAAAACCGAUCUAGUCC